rnacentral:snoRNA from 1 species
GCAUCUGAAUCUUUCCCAUCCUUGCUGUAGUGCUGGACUGGGGACAUGCGAUGCAACAGGAAAGCAGAGGAAAUCCAGACAGGCUCCCUUUCACCACAGUGGGACUUGUCUCUACACCUUUGCAACAUCU